rnacentral:rRNA from 1 species
GUCCCAGACUCCUACGGGAGGCAGCAGUGGGGAAUAUUGGGCAAUGGGCGCAAGCCUGACCCAGCAACGCCGCGUGAAGGAAGAAGGCUUUCGGGUUGUAAACUUCUUUUCUCAGGGACGAAGCAAGUGACGGUACCUGAGGAAUAAGCCACGGCUAACUACGUGCCAGCAGCCGCGGUAAUACGUAGGUGGCAAGCGUUAUCCGGAUUUACUGGGUGUAAAGGGCGCGUAGGCGGGAUGGCAAGUCAGAUGUGAAAUCCAAGGGCUCAACCCUUGAACUGCAUUUGAAACUGCCGUUCUUGAGUACUGGAGAGGUUGACGGAAUUCCUAGUGUAGCGGUGAAAUGCGUAGAUAUUAGGAGGAACACCAGUGGCGAAGGCGGCCUGCUGGACGACAACUGACGGUGAGGCGCGAAAGCGUGGGGAGCAAACAGGAUUAGAUACCCCCGUAUUA